ACCAGGCUGGUUCAGUUGGAAGAACAUGAGACUCUUGAUCUUAGAAUCGUGGGUUCAGGCCCCAUGUUGGGUG
rnacentral:tRNA from 1 species